rnacentral:rRNA from 1 species
GGGUUGUGAGGUUAAGCGACUAAGCGUACACGGUGGAUGCCCUGGCAGUCAGAGGCGAUGAAGGACGUGCUAAUCUGCGAUAAGCGUCGGUAAGGUGAUAUGAACCGUUAUAACCGGCGAUUUCCGAAUGGGGAAACCCAGUGUGUUUCGACACACUAUCAUUAACUGAAUCCAUAGGUUAAUGAGGCGAACCGGGGGAACUGAAACAUCUAAGUACCCCGAGGAAAAGAAAUCAACCGAGAUUCCCCCAGUAGCGGCGAGCGAACGGGGAGCAGCCCAGAGCCUGAAUCAGUAUGUGUGUUAGUGGAAGCGUCUGGAAAGGCGCGCGAUACAGGGUGACAGCCCCGUACACAAAAAUGCACAUGCUGUGAGCUCGAUGAGUAGGGCGGGACACGUGGUAUCCUGUCUGAAUAUGGGGGGACCAUCCUCCAAGGCUAAAUACUCCUGACUGACCGAUAGUGAACCAGUACCGUGAGGGAAAGGCGAAAAGAACCCCGGCGAGGGGAGUGAAAAAGAACCUGAAACCGUGUACGUACAAGCAGUGGGAGCACGCUUAGGCGUGUGACUGCGUACCUUUUGUAUAAUGGGUCAGCGACUUAUAUUCUGUAGCAAGGUUAACCGAAUAGGGGAGCCGAAGGGAAACCGAGUCUUAACUGGGCGUUAAGUUGCAGGGUAUAGACCCGAAACCCGGUGAUCUAGCCAUGGGCAGGUUGAAGGUUGGGUAACACUAACUGGAGGACCGAACCGACUAAUGUUGAAAAAUUAGCGGAUGACUUGUGGCUGGGGGUGAAAGGCCAAUCAAACCGGGAGAUAGCUGGUUCUCCCCGAAAGCUAUUUAGGUAGCGCCUCGUGAAUUCAUCUCCGGGGGUAGAGCACUGUUUCGGCAAGGGGGUCAUCCCGACUUACCAACCCGAUGCAAACUGCGAAUACCGGAGAAUGUUAUCACGGGAGACACACGGCGGGUGCUAACGUCCGUCGUGAAGAGGGAAACAACCCAGACCGCCAGCUAAGGUCCCAAAGUCAUGGUUAAGUGGGAAACGAUGUGGGAAGGCCCAGACAGCCAGGAUGUUGGCUUAGAAGCAGCCAUCAUUUAAAGAAAGCGUAAUAGCUCACUGGUCGAGUCGGCCUGCGCGGAAGAUGUAACGGGGCUAAACCAUGCACCGAAGCUGCGGCAGCGACGCUGAUGCGUUGUUGGGUAGGGGAGCGUUCUGUAAGCCUGCGAAGGUGUGCUGUGAGGCAUGCUGGAGGUAUCAGAAGUGCGAAUGCUGACAUAAGUAACGAUAAAGCGGGUGAAAAGCCCGCUCGCCGGAAGACCAAGGGUUCCUGUCCAACGUUAAUCGGGGCAGGGUGAGUCGACCCCUAAGGCGAGGCCGAAAGGCGUAGUCGAUGGGAAACAGGUUAAUAUUCCUGUACUUGGUGUUACUGCGAAGGGGGGACGGAGAAGGCUAUGUUGGCCGGGCGACGGUUGUCCCGGUUUAAGCGUGUAGGCUGGUUUUCCAGGCAAAUCCGGAAAAUCAAGGCUGAGGCGUGAUGACGAGGCACUGCGGUGCUGAAGCAACAAAUGCCCUGCUUCCAGGAAAAGCCUCUAAGCAUCAGGUAACAUCAAAUC